AUGACUUGGGCUCCUUCUCUGCUCUCUCUCCCUCUCAACCUCCUCCCACCCUCUUCUCCUCUCAUCUCAAAAUCCCACAGACGCAGCUGGCUGAUAAGCACUAGAAGAUCAUCAUCAGCAAGAGUCACAGCCAGUGCUUCAGACCAAGACCAAACCAAGAGCAAAGGAGCAGAACAAGACUCACCAGCUUUCAACCCCUUUGGGUUCGUCACUGAUAACCCUUCAAGCCGUAGCGCCAUUCAACUCCCCGAUAGCCCUGCAGACGAUGGCAAUGUCGGCCAAAUGCUUAAUAGAAUAGAGGACAAGGGGAGGGAUUAUGGAAAAUACAUCAGGUCGGGAGAGCAUGUAUGGUUCGUGAGAGAAACUGGAUCAGCUGAGAGCAAACGUGGAACAAUUGUCUUCCUUCAUGGGGCUCCCACGCAGUCUUAUAGCUACAGAAAUGUCAUGUCUCAGAUGUCAGAACUUGGGUUCCACUGCUUUGCACCUGAUUGGCUAGGAUUCGGUUUCAGUGACAAACCACAGCCGGGAUAUGGAUUUGACUAUAUAGAAAAGGAGUUCCACGAUGAAUUUGACAGACUGCUAGAUGUUCUGGGGGUCACAUCUCCUUUCUAUCUAGUCGUUCAGGGAUUUCUUGUAGGUUCGUAUGGAUUGACCUGGGCUGUUAAAAAUCCUAGCAGACUAGAAAAGCUUGCAAUUUUGAAUAGUCCACUCACUAUGUCAUCUCCUCUUCCAGGACUGUUUAAGCAACUAAGAUUUCCUCUACUUGGUGAGUUCACAUGCCAGAAUGCUAUUAUGGCUGAGCGAUUUAUUGAAGCAGGUAGCGCUUAUGCGUUGAAGCUGGAAAAGGCUGAUGUGUAUCGAUUACCAUAUCUAUCAAGCAGUGGCCCUGGAUUUGCUAUACUUGAAGCUACAAGGAAAGCUAAUUUCCAAAGCAUCCUGAGCCAAAUAGCAUCUGGCUUUGCAUCUGGAAGAUGGGAUGUACCUACUCUUGUUGCAUGGGGAAUUUCAGACAAGUAUCUACCUCAAUCUGUGGCGGAAGAGUUUAAGAACGCAAACCCCACCGUUGUCAACCUUAAGUUAAUAGAAGGUGCCGGACAUAUGCCACAGGAGGACUGGCCUGAGAGAGUUGUUACUGCUUUGAGAGUUUUCUUUUAAGUUCAAAUCACAAAGCCACAUCCAAUCAGCUGUAUGAUUGUCCUACUUCACUUAAGGUAACACAGCUGCAUGACUAGAGAGGAUUGCUUAAACUGCAAUGAAAAUCCUAGGAACUUCCUUGGCAAUUUAUGUGUAAAUAACUUUUUUGUGUAUAUCAUAGGAAAAAAUUAUCUGUAAAUCUCCACAAGUUGUAUAUCAGAAUGAGAUUACAAAUGGUCCACAAA